GUCCCUGUAGCUCAGUGGUUAGAGCAUCCGACCGGUGCGGAAGGUCAUGGGUUCGAACCCCGCUUUUUCGGGGACU